CUGGAUGUGGAGGAGGAUGACAUUGAGAAUCUCUUAGAGGUGGUUCAUGAGGAAUGGGUUAAUGAGGAGUCAUUGGAACUGAUACAGGUACGCAUAGCUGAAGAAGAGGGACACUUGACAUUCAGGGACGUGGCCAUAGAAUUCUCUCAGGAGGAGUGGAAAUGCCUGGACCCUGUGCAGAAGGCUUUAUACAGGGAUGUGAUGUUGGAGAACUACAGGAACCUGGUCUCCCUGGGUAAGGAUAAUGCCCCUCCAGAAGUUGGGGUCUGCCCUUAGUAUCUCUGCAUUUUCCCUUGUGUGCCUCUUGGGAGCCCCUGCAUUGCUUGACUGAGAUUGAAACCCUGUUGACUUGGGCACGGUGGCUCAUGCCUGUAAUCCCAGCACUUUGGGAGGCUGAGGUGGGUGGAUUGCUUGAGGUCAGGAGUUCGAGACCAACCUGACCAUAAUGAUAAAACCCCAUCUGUACUAAAAAUACAAAAAUUAGCCAGGUGUGGCGGUGUAUGCCUGUAAUCUCAGCUACACGGGAGGCUGAGGCAAGAUAAUUGCUUGCACUCAGGAGGCGGAGGU
rnacentral:sRNA from 1 species